rnacentral:rRNA from 1 species
GGUCUCGGACAGUGUCUGGUGGGUAGUUUGACUGGGGCGGUCUCCUCCCAAAGCGUAACGGAGGAGCACGAAGGUUUGCUAAUCACGGUCGGACAUCGUGAGGUUAGUGCAAUGGUAUAAGCAAGCUUAACUGCGAGACAGACAAGUCGAGCAGGUGCGAAAGCAGGUCAUAGUGAUCCGGUGGUUCUGAAUGGAAGGGCCAUCGCUCAACGGAUAAAAGGUACUCCGGGGAUAACAGGCUGAUACCGCCCAAGAGUUCAUAUCGACGGCGGUGUUUGGCACCUCGAUGUCGGCUCAUCACAUCCUGGGGCUGAAGUAGGUCCCAAGGGUAUGGCUGUUCGCCAUUUAAAGUGGUACGCGAGCUGGGUUUAGAACGUCGUGAGACAGUUCGGUCCCUAUCUGCCGUGGGCGUUGGAGAAUUGAGAGGGGCUGCUCCUAGUACGAGAGGACCGGAGUGGACGCAUCACUGGUGUACCAGUUGUCUCGCCAGAGGCA